GUACUCGCUUCGGCGGUACAUAUACUAAAAUUGGAACGAUACAGAGAAGAUAAGCAUGGCCCCUGCGCAAGGAUGACACGCAUUAUGUUCUCGGUGUGUACAUUGCGU